ensembl:lncRNA novel transcript
AGGCCUCGACUCUAGUGCAGGGGUGGUGGAGAGGGGACUGUGCCAGUUCCCUGGACAAUCCCAGCUGCUUCAUCUUGGACUGACAUGGACACCAGGCAGUAACACCAGCUCUUGGGAGUUGGUGGGAACAGGUGUAAUAUCAAAGCUCCCAGCUCUGCACUCUCCUGUCACAUAGGAAGACCUCAGAAAAUGGAGGUUCCUUCCUUUCCACCUGCACUGGGGGAGUGCAAUGAGCAGAAGAAAAGCGAAGGUCCCUCCACCUUCUGAGAUCAGCUGACACCUGAGCUUAGGCCUCCCUACCUAAGAGCUGGGUCCUAAUUCACUGGUUCUGUACAUCAGGAAGGCAAAGCACAGACAGAGCACACCACCACCUGCAGCUGUCUCCUGCCUCCAGUGCAUCAGAGUCUGGAGCGCGUUGCUUCUCUGGAGGGAGAUAAAGACACAGUGGCUACCUGGGGAGAUAAAACAGCACCAGCAGGAAUCAGGGGUUCCAGAGAGGAGGGAACCUGGCCCUGGGCUAUCCUGGCUUUUGUCUCUGCCAUUUCUACUAAAACCACUCUGCUCAAGGCUGUCAUCAGUGUCUCCACUGCCCAGCCCUGGACUGUCAGAGCCACUCCGGGACAUCUGCACCAGAUGCAUGAGUUUCCUGAUACAGCGAAAUCUCAGCAGGAGUUGACACCCACCUGCCUGGUGCUCUGGGAUGAAUUUCUGCACAGAUGCAACCUCUGUGGGUGGAAGCCAGGAUGAAGUAUAUGCAUCUGUGAAGACUGGCCUUCCAUCUGUUUUCUGAUGCAACCAAAAUGCUUCAGGGCUCGUCUUAUCUGGAGGUUUGAUGGCUACAGACGUGAGGGGCUUCCAGGUAGAGCUCAGACCUGAGACUUCUGGUCCCCUGUCUGGACAUCUGUAUGAAGACGGAGAAGCACCAGCCAACCUCUCCACAACCCUCACCAAGUUCUCAUGGAACAUCCUCUGAUGGUCCCUCUCGGUGCUGGGUUCUGGCAGGAGAAAGAGAAGUCAGGGAACAGAAGAGCUGCUCUGCCAAAGUCAUACCCUUCUUGGAGACACAGGGAACUCCAUCUCUCAUUCUCACUAGCAAUUUGCUGUGGCAACUCAAAUGUUUUUCCAGAUGGAACAUAAGCAGACGUGAUGUGUUUGCCUUCCAGGUCUAACCCAUGCAAAGCCUCCUGGGAACACACCUCACGCUAUUUUCUAUUCCAUCAGGUGGAUAUGGAUGAUGAUUAGGAACUAGGGUGAGGUGGAGCCAGAAAACACAAGGAGCCUGGAUCCCUGAAUGACCACAUGGACAUACACAUGCUGAAGACUGCCUUGUAAGCAGGAAAUAAACAUCUACUGUAUUGAA